AGUGAACGCUGGCGGUAGGCCUAACACAUGCAAGUCGAACGGCAGCACAGUAAGAGCUUGCUCUUACGGGUAGCGAGUGGCGGACGGGUGAGGAAUACAUCGGAAUCUACUUUUUCGUGGGGGAUAACGUAGGGAAACUUACGCUAAUACCGCAUACGACCUACGGGUGAAAGCAGGGGAUCUUCGGACCUUGCGCGAUUGAAUGAGCCGAUGUCGGAUUAGCUAGUUGGCGGGGCAAAGGCCCACCAAGGCGACGAUCCGUAGCUGGUCUGAGAGGAUGAUCAGCCACACUGGAACUGAGACACGGUCCAGACUCCUACGGGAGGCAGCAGUGGGGAAUAUUGGACAAUGGGCGCAAGCCUGAUCCAGCCAUACCGCGUGGGUGAAGAAGGCCUUCGGGUUGUAAAGCCCUUUUGUUGGGAAAGAAAAGCAGCAGGUUAAUACCCCGCUGUUCUGACGGUACCCAAAGAAUAAGCACCGGCUAACUUCGUG
rnacentral:rRNA from 1 species